AUUGAACGCUGGCGGCAGGCUUAACACAUGCAAGUCGAGCGGAGCGAGGGUGCUUGCACCUUAGCUUAGCGGCGGACGGGUGAGUAAUGCUUAGGAAUCUGCCUAUUAGUGGGGGACAACAUUCCGAAAGGAAUGCUAAUACCGCAUACGCCCUACGGGGGAAAGCAGGGGAUCUUCGGACCUUGCGCUAAUAGAUGAGCCUAAGUCGGGUUAGCUAGUUGGUGGGGUAAAGGCCUACCAAGGCGACGAUCUGUAGCGGGUCUGAGAGGAUGAUCCGCCACGCUGGGACUGAGACACGGACCAGACUCCUACGGGAGGCAGCAGUGGGGAAUAUUGGACAAUGGGCGGAAGCCUGAUCCAGCCAUGCCGCGUGUGUGAAGAAGGCCUUUUGGUUGUAAAGCACUUUAAGCGAGGAGGAGGCUACUUAGAUUAAUACUCUGGGAUAGUGGACGUUACUCGCAGAAUAAGCACCGGCUAACUCUGUGCCAGCCGCCGCGGUAA
rnacentral:rRNA from 1 species